CCUACGGGAGGCAGCAGUGAGGAAUAUUGGUCAAUGGACGAGAGUCUGAACCAGCCAAGUAGCGUGAAGGAUGACUGCCCUAUGGGUUGUAAACUUCUUUUAUCUGGGAAUAAAAUGUUCCACGUGUGGGAUUUUGUAUGUACCAUAUGAAUAAGGAUCGGCUAACUCCGUGCCAGCAGCCGCGGUAAUACGGAGGAGCCGAGCGUUAUCCGGAUUUAUUGGGUUUAAAGGGAGCGAAGGUGGAUUGUUAAGUCAGUUGUGAAAGUUUGCGGCUCAACCGUAAAAUUGCAGUUGAAACUGGCAGUCUGGAGUACAGUAGAGGUGGGCGGAAUUCGUGGUGUAGCGGUGAAAUGCUGAGAUAUCACGAAGAACUCCGAUUGCGAAGGCAGCUCACUGGACUGCAACUGACACUGAGGCUCGAAAGUGUGGGUAUCAAACAGGAUUAGAUACCCCAGUAGUC
rnacentral:rRNA from 1 species